GAACUUAUACUUUGCAACUUUUUGUUGCGUUGCCUAGCAACAAGCUAGCGGCACGCCAGACGCGCGUGCAUACGUCAUACGCCAGACAAGCCGCACGAGUGAGCGAGGGCGGUCGUACGUGCGAAGCUCGCGUGCUCUGCGACCCGUCUGUUCUGGAUAUAGCCCAUGUUUUUGGGCUCCCGGCCUUCUCUAUGCUUUUCUUGCGUAUCGUCUGCAUUUCGACACGGCACCACUGCACUACUGGACUACGGCAAGCUGAUGGCAUCCGGUGGAGCAUCGUACGGCAACGACUGCUGCUUACCUGGUGCCACAACUUUGGAUGAAUGCAGAAGAAGCCCGGAACGAGCAUUUAUAUAGAGCAAAAUAAACAUUUCAUAAUUUCAGAA
rnacentral:lncRNA from 1 species